AUGAUUUAAUACAAAAUCUCGACUCAUUACGGUAUGAGUUGCUUUUAUUCGAGAUUAACACGUGUUUCCGCUGUAGCAGUAAACAACAACAGGCUGUUGAACAGCAUGGAUUUUCAUGAUUAUUGUACGAUGGAGAACACGUCAAUUCAUCAUAUAAGACGGGUCUUUUCUUUGGCAUUAGAUGUGACACGUGUAGUGCGAUGGUACCAUUUAGGCUUCAGAACUUUCAUCUAUGAAGACCCACUUGCUAAUGGCCACCACGCACAGAAAAGACCAUGACGUGGAGGACAUAUGUGCUUAGUUAUUAAAGUCGGGACAGAAUACAUUUAGAGACUGAUCAUGCCUUGGUCAAAUCAAAGGAGUUCCCUCAGUCUUUCAGAGAGAUGGCAGAGAGUUCAUUCAACAUGAAGAUGAUGUGCACAUAAUGUAUGCGACAUAAACUGGAUGAGUGAAAGAUUGUAUCUGAUGUUCUGUGCUUGUCCAUCUUUGCUGUCUUUUCAUGUGCUUAUAAAAUGACAAAAGUUGUUAUAACAAGUGACCCAGUAAAGACUUGAAAAUGUAAAAUAAUUCUUUUAAGAAAAGAAAAAUUGUAAAUCUUAUUUUAUACAAUGUAUUCUAGAUGACAAAGAAUGUGUUUGACUUAGUUUUUGAAAAUGACAAAAUAAAUUCUCUUUUGUGUAAUUAAAAAAUGAUAAUGGUUGCAACACAUGUUUACCUUAAUAUGAUUUUAAUAGUAUUUGUCACUAAGAUUGAAAUACUUGAGAACAUAUUUUACAAAUUUUGUUCCAGUUUACUUAAGUCAGAGAUAUAUUUUUUGAAUGACAACCAAGAUUUGAAAAAAAAGAAAGAACUAAGUAAUUAAAACAAAACUAUUCACUUUUGUGAUAUCUCUGUUGAUUUUCUUGUAUACAAUUUUAUGUGUCAGUUAUUGGACAAUAUGUCCAUAAUAAUUGCAGCAUUUCAAAUUUGAUGUAUACAUACAAUUUAAGGCAGAUUUCUGUACUGAUAUGACCUUGACCCACAAAGAACAGAAAUUUCAGGGUCAAUACUUAAGACAAUUAUUUGUUGGAUGUUUUAUAAAUUAUUUUUGACCUUAUAUCUUACAAACGAUACCACGGAAAACUGUCUAGAAUAAGAAGUUAGAAACCUAUAAAGCCAGAAAAUUGAAUCUUGUUGUUGCUUAGCAACCAUUUAAAGGUCAUUUAACACAAAUUUGUACAAAAAUAAUAUGUGGAUAUUGCAAUACAGUAUGAUGCCUUCUAAAGAGUAAAUUCAUAAUUUUCUUCUUUAGCAUCCAUUGUUACAAAUUUUACGCAAGAACGAUGAAAAGUUUUGGGAAAAAUUCUAAAAUUAUGCACUUAUUUGACCUUUGACCUCCAAAAAAAAUGAAUUUGAUGAGGUCAAACUUUCAGACAAUUAUCUGAUGUAUAUUAUUUCAGUAUCAUUACCCUACAUUUGACUUUACAAUGUAAUGGAAUGCAUAAAUGUGUGUGGGAUGAGCAAAAAACAAGAAAUACUGCCCGAAAAUUGAAAAAUACUCCGUUGCUUAGCAACCUCUUGAAGGUCAUUAUUUGCAGAAUUGAAAAAAAAGUUUAUGUGAUUAAUGUAGUACAGGAUAUUGCCCUUCUGUGGGUUUAUUCUGAAUUUCCUAUUUCAAUGUGUAUCACUGUUAAUUUUUAACUUGAAAAUUAAAAUUUGUCAAAAAAUGCAAUAAAAUUCUGCACUUAUUUGACCUUUGACCUCAAUUUCCACUAGCAAGGUCAGUCGUGAGGUACCUACAUAGUUAUGAAAUAUCAUCUCCAAAAAAUUCCCUACAAAAUGGUAUAC